GGAAUCAGGUUUGGGCAGGACCAUGUCAGGUUACAGAGUAGCUUGCUUCUGUGAACCGUGGAACCAACAAGAUCUUCGAUUACUGCUCUUUGGGAUGAUAUUGAGAUACCUGCAAAUAGCAUCGUUGAAGCCAGAGAUCUAUGGGAGCACAAGACAUUGAAUCAAAAGUUUGUAGGAAACUUGACGGCGACAGUGGAUUCUCAUGCGUGUAAGUUGUAUGUUCUCAAACCUGUUGCCUGAAAUAUAUAUUAUGUAGAGAGAGAGGAAGAGCUACGUUGUAGUAUUUCUCCAAUUAUUCUGUAAAAACAAUAAGGGUUCGUCUCAAAUUGGGUCUCCAGUUAUUCUCCAAUAAAGUAUUCUACAUUUGCCCAAAA